rnacentral:rRNA from 1 species
AUUGAACGCUGGCGGCAUGCCUUACACACGCAAGUCGAACGGUAACAGGUCUUCGGAUGCUGACGAGUGGCGAACGGGUGAGUAAUACAUCGGAACGUGCCUAGUAGUGGGGGAUAACUACUCGAAAGAGUGGCUAAUACCGCAUGAGAUCUACGGAUGAAAGCAGGGGAUCGCAAGACCUUGUGCUACUAGAGCGGCCGAUGGCAGAUUAGGUAGUUGGUGGGAUAAAAGCUUACCAAGCCGACGAUCUGGAGCUGGUCUGAGAGGACGAUCAGCCACACUGGGACUGAGACACGGCCCAGACUCCUACGGGAGGCAGCAGUGGGGAAUUUUGGACAAUGGGCGAAAGCCUGAUCCAGCAAUGCCGCGUGCAGGAUGAAGGCCUUCGGGUUGUAAACUGCUUUUGUACGGAACGAAAAGCCCUGGGUUAAUACCCUGGGGUCAUGACGGUACCGUAAGAAUAAGCACCGGCUAACUACGUGCCAGCCGCCGCCGUAA